rnacentral:rRNA from 1 species
CCUACGGGUGGCAGCAGUGAGGAAUAUUGGUCAAUGGGCGAGAGCCUGAACCAGCCAAGUCGCGUGAGGGAGUACUGCCCUAUGGGUUGUAAACCUCUUUUGUCGGGGAGCAAAAGCCGGACGUGUCCGGCUGUGAGAGUGCCCGAAGAAAAAGCAUCGGCUAACUCCGUGCCAGCAGCCGCGGUAAUACGGAGGAUGCGAGCGUUAUCCGGAUUUAUUGGGUUUAAAGGGUGCGCAGGCGGAUUUUUAAGUCAGCGGUAAAAUCGUGGGGCUUAACCCCAUCCAGCCGUUGAAACUGGGGAUCUAGAGUGUGCGAGAGGUAUGCGGAAUGCGUGGUGUAGCGGUGAAAUGCAUAGAUAGCACGCAGAACCCCGAUUGCGAAGGCAGCAUACCGGUGCACAACUGACGCUCAGGCACGAAAGCGUGGGUAUCGAACAGGAUUAGAUACCCUUGUAGUC